CGGGGCGUGGCUCAGUUGGCUUAGAGCACCUGCUUUGGGAGCAGGGGGUCGCUGGUUCGAGUCCAGCCGCCCCGACCA
rnacentral:tRNA from 1 species